UACAGAGGUCCCAAGCGUUGUUCGGAUUCACUGGGCGUAAAGGGUGCGCAGGUGGUCGGGUAAGUCUGACGUGAAAUCCCGCAGCUUAACUGCGGAAUGGCAUUGGAUACUAUUCGGCUAGAGGGUUGGAGGGGGGACUGGAAUUCUCGGUGUAGCAGUGAAAUGCGUAGAUAUCGAGAGGAACACCAGUGGCGAAGGCGAGUCCCUAGACAACUCCUGACACUGAGGCACGAAAGCUAGGGGAGCAAACAGG
rnacentral:rRNA from 1 species